CUCUCGUAGCUACGAGAGGAUUUCGCGAGUCAGCGGCUACACGUAGGCUACUCAUAAUCUAUUCCAAGUUAUCUUUACUAAUAUCUAAGCGCUGUCUUUUGAAAGACAACAGACAACACGCUAUCUGAAAUAGCCAAUGGGUAAAUCCCGAUAAUAGCUCAAACUUUUUUUUGUUUGAAAUAGCCAAGCGCUAUAUACUUGACAAUUGUGCAAGUAAUAGAGGAAAUUUUAAAUUUCACCGAACAGUGCAACAGCCCCAAAUGCGCUCUAAAUCUCUUAAACUUGUAAAUAAGAGACGACUACAAGUAUGCAUAACGUUGGAUUGAAUUUAUUACAUUUUUAUGGAAGAAUACAAGCAUAAAGUAACAACACCAUAUGUUCUCUCUCGCACCAAAGAGCCGGUCGGUUAAAAUUACUCAUUGACAGAGCUUGGACUACCUGUGUGAAAACGAAUAAGCAAGGCAACUGAAGACCGACUGGAGACUGACAGAGAGCAUGACAUGGAAUACGUGCAUCCCGAUGGCAGCUUUUUGGCCAAGGGCGGUAGGAUAGGCUAGUGGUUGCUAUGUUUUGCCAAUAAAGAACAUGCGCCUUUUGGCGCUGAAGAGAAAUAACUACAAGGUAGGAAAGUUAUGACGACUUCUUUGUGUCAUAACAGUUCCUUAGGGAAAGCGCCCCGGAUUUGGCUGUACCAGGAACACAAACGCCUGGCCAGUGCUGGUUUUUUAGAGAGCAAGUCAACAAAGCAGAAAUGACAAUACCGCAUAUACUCGAAUAAGCGCCUCCCCCGAAUAAGCGCCCCCUUUGAACCAAAACUAUCAAAUAAGCGCCCCGUCUCAGACGGGUAAAUACGAUUAUCAUAACCACUAUCGAACCAUACAUAACCUCAACUAAACGUUUCUACCGUGUAGUGGUUGUUUCAAUGAUAAAUUGACACUGGUAUAGUUAAUUAUUAUAAGAGAUCAUCUUUUACGUUGAAUCACGUGAUCAUUUGUAUAAAAAACGUUUCAUAAUCAGAAAUGCAUGCAGUAUCACCGGUAUCCGUUACAGUUACAGUCACAAUUACAGCUAACCAGGAAUUUUAUGAACAGUGGUUGGACACGCCAUAGAAGUAAGUCAUUUAGAAUACGGUUUUUGCAUAUUCACCAGUGAUUUCAUUGUAAACUGACACUCAAUAUAAUUUACGUUAUUCGUC